GGGUUAAGAAUGCACAAGCAAUUUACACCCUAAAUGGUAGUGAAUUAGGGAUAACCACACACAAGAAGGAUUUGGGAAUUGUUAUAGAUAACAAAUUAGGCAGCAAUAUGCAAUGUCAAUCUGCAGUUGCUAAGGCCAGUAAGGUUUUGUCAUGUAUAAAUAGGGGCAUAAAUUCUCGGGAUGAAAAUAUAAUUUUGCCUCUUUCUAAAUCGCUGGUAAGACCACACCUUGAAUAUGCUGUGC